CUGCUCCCUGAAUGUUGGUGACGCUUAAUGACUUGCACAGAGUGUGAGGGAGGGAUAAGUGGUAGUUCUGUUGGUGAUCAGGGAUAACCUCAUCGGUGAUGUCCUGUCAGUAACACACGCCUUCGCGAUGAUGAGAUGAGAAUCGACUUCACGUCUGUGAACCUGUGAGCCUGUCUUAUCCUCCAGACCUGCAACCGCCACCUCACACCCAAGCCAUAACCACGUGUGGCCGCGGUGGCCAGUGGGCGGCACCCUCGCCUCACCCCGCGGAGCACGCAGGGGAACCGGGCCCAGCAGCUUCCGCUCCGCUCUCCGGCUCGCACCCAAGGUCGUGGGGUUCAUCAUCGCCAUUAGACCCUGCUCCCACGCUCCCCAAUAGCAGGCGAGGACGCGUGGAGGCUCGGGUCAGUCCAAAGCGGAGGUGGCCUCGGAAGGACAGCGCGGAGCACCUCGGAAGCGCCGCCCGGCCCCAGGACGGGUCGGAGGUGCCACUUUCGCCAACGACUACAAGUCCCGGAAGCCUCCGCGGCCUACGCCGGCUACAAGGCAGGUGCGCAGCCGCCCAGCGUCCAGACGUCACUUUCCUGUACUUCUAGGACCGACACCGCCUUUCUAUGAUGUCAUAGACUUCCGGCGGAAGACCUGAGCGCUUGACGGUGUCGCGGGCGGUGUGUCUCCAGGCUGCUGGGCGUUUUCUUUUUCUAACAACGCGACGGUUCAGAGAAGAAGUUUAACGCUGUCACCACAUUUUACUCUCUUAGCAUGCAUUUUGUGACCCUGCAAUAAUCAUCUGCGUUUUGGAUUAGGGGAUGUGAGACUGAAGGAAAGCGCCCUUAGAAAAAGGAUCUCUGGGCCGGGGAUUUAGCCCAGUGGGUCCGCCGCCUGCCUCACAAGUUCAAGGACCCGAGGUCGAUCCCCGGUACAAAAAGAAAGAAAGAGAGGGUCUUCGCUGUGGUUGUGUGGAUUCCUGGCUGUGGAGAGACACAGGAUCUAUGUUAGUGAUCUCCCGGGGAGCACAGCACCGAGGGAACCACUACCGCGGAAAGCGAAAGCAAAGGACGGAGUCGUGGUUUCAGCCACAGUCUCGGUGUCACUGGAGCUGUGUCAAGCAGCGAGAUUGUGACCAUGGCCUGCUCCGCAGAGCCAGCCUGGUCUGAGGUACAGGGCAGGAGAUGCUGAGUGUGUGGCUAAGGGCAUCUCAGGCAACAAAGGACAAAACCUGAGCUCAUCAUCGAGGACACUCACACGCCUGCGCAAGAGCAAGUCAAAUCCACCUGCUUUGAGAGAAACAGCUGUGGCCCGGGAUGCGGCUUAGCGGGCUGCACUUUCCAAGCCUGCAUUUUCAAAGUGUGGGAAAACAACGCAAACAGAGGGAGGCGUGAAAGGCUUUUUUUCAAGUGUAAUUAACUUAUGCGAUGAUUACACAGUUUGGGUCCUGAGUCUGACCUGACAGGAUCGAUGAGGAGGUAAAGAGAUAGUGGAACCAAGUGUUAUCUUUCAGGGUCAGUGACAAAUUUCCACACAAGUUCUAUUUCUUCAGACAAGAAGGGGAAUGGCACAAGU